rnacentral:lncRNA from 1 species
AAAUAAUGUAACGUCCUCUUGCUUUGUGUUAAUACAAAAUUAUUUGAAAGUGGGGGUACUGUAAAUAGUUCUACGGUUAAUGUAAAGCUGUCAUUGUUGUUAUUUCACGUUUGUUUCUACAUACCCACCACAAGAUUCUAUUCCAUACAAACCAACACAAUAAAGGAAGAAGAGCAUCAUGAGGGUAGAUUCUGUCCAUUGGUGACACAUAAAUAUUUGGUGAACGAUUCAUUGCUGUAAAGGAAGACAUAAUGCAUCGCUGCAGCUGCCCAAAAGCAUAACGUGGAAAUAUAGACUCAUAGGUUAAAACAGAACACAGCUGUCCUUUUCCUUCUCUUGUUUUACCCAUUUGAACGCUUAUGGAAAUGUAGACGUGAUCAACACACUAGCUCAGGAAACAACACUAGAUGGCGACCUCGGGAUUAGCACGUGUUAUUUUGCUCCCAGUCUACUGAUGCUCACCAUGAAGAUCCCGGCCCAGAUCCCAGAAGACUUUCCUACAGUUGGAAUUUGGACAGCUGAACACGGUGACACGAUCGACACUGCUCACAUCUGAACAAUAUCAGCCUCCUUAGAGCCAAAAGUGCCAUCUUUCUCCCAGAAACACCCUUUUGGGUAUCUGGGGCCCGCAGGGAUGUCUGCAGUGUAUAAUAAAGGGAGAACGUCAAGGAAACUGCGAGGGGCAUUCACUGUAUGUGAAGCAGGCAACAAACACAAA